GGGCUCCUGCUGCGGGAAACUGUGGCCUCAUCAUUGGUUGCUGUGUGGCCAUCAUCGGUGAGCCAGGCAUCAUGGGAGCAGCUCCUGCACCAGGCUGAGUCACAGAGAGACACAGGGGUUUACCAGCAAACAGGUCUAUCGUUGGGGCUGAGAAAGCAGUGGGGGCUACAGUGCUGGUGGUGGUGGAGACAGACGCCUGGACAGAAGUGGGUUCCACUGAGCUAAAGAGAGAGUGACUGUCAUCUACUGGCUGCAUGGAGAACAGGUCCAACUGAACGGAGUGAUCAGCUGUAACAGCCGCUGGAGAGAAGGGAUCUACAUGGAGAAGAGGAUGAACAUUUAAAAACAUCUUCCAGGCUCUGAAAGACUGCAUUUAUUAUAUAAAAUCACCCUGAGGAUGAAACUUCAGAGAAGGAAGAAUGAGAAAGAAAGUGGACAUCUGCUUGUGCUCUGUGGAGAACAGAACUCCAGUAACUCCAGUGUUCAAAGACAAUCGCCCUAGCAACAUAGACAGCAAUCGCCAUGGCAACACCGAUGCCAAUACAGAAAUCUCAGCAUUGACCAGAGGAGGCUUCAUUAGGAGUGGAGCCUGUAGAAGAGGCCCUGUGAGGUUCUUCAUACCGAAUGUGGCACAGCCUUUCCCCCAGAAAGAAACCUCACUACUGACCUCCGAGGAGAUCCGCUGAGCCGGAGGAAGCACCGGCAGCGGAAGGAGGAGGAGCCAAAGAAACAGCUGCCUCAGCGGCUGUGGUGGUG